AUUGAGGAAGUAUUUCAUCUGACAACAGAUAUUACUUUAUUAUUACUGACAGUCAUUGUUUACAUUAAAUAAGAUACAUCGUACAACACAGACAGAACAGAAUGUCAACAACGACUGCAAAUAUUCCAAUUUCCUCCCAAUUUAUACCACAAGUGGUUGGAAUCCAACAAGUUUUACCAGUCGGACGCCAGCAACAAGCAUUUCCAGUGAGGACAUUUAAAGUGUUUGGUGGUAUACAGAUAGGUCUUGGUGUUCUUCUUGGGAUUCUAAGUUUAAUUGGAGUGAUUUUGGAUAUAACUGCAUGGAACAAAUACGACGACUGUCUCGCCAAGAUUGAUUUCGACCGUGACAGUGGCAAUUAUCGUUAUUAUGAUUAUUAUUGGAUGUGUAGUCGAUAUGAUGAUGUCCACAUACUUUUUGGAUUUGACAUAACUUGUCUAAUAUGUUCUGGAUGGUAUGUUGUCACUGGUUUUCUGCCUAUGUGUAUGUCAAGGAAGAGGGAGGCGAGCUGGAUGUGUCUGAAAACUGGAUUUAUGGUGUGUAGCAUAAUAGGAGCGUCAGUUUUUGUUCCAACUAUGUUCAGUCUUGGUGUAGUCGGUUCAGUUAUAAGAGGCAAUCAUGAUUCUAAAGCUGUGACUCUGUCAGCUUUCAUGGCUGUGUUGUCCUUUGCAGAAGUAGUGGUCGCAGUCAUUGCCGCUUCAUUAUGUUGUUGCUGUACCUCAUGGGGGACAUCGGAUCAGCAGGGAGUUGUUUUUAUGAACGCCACACAACCUGGAAUGAUUCUUAACCUAACACAGACUCACAUUCCUAUGACAACCGGUCACCAGGUCAUGAUGGCUACUGGACAAACAGGUAACCCAGUAGUGCAGUAUUAUCCAAGGGCCCAACAGUAUCAAGUCAUGACUACAACUCAACCGACAGUACCACAGAGUCAAGCUAGCGCUGUUGGUGUUACACAACCAGAACCAAACAAUGUACAAGUGUUUGAUACCAAUCCGCCAGCUUACAAAGAAUAAAUGAGAUAUAAUCAUCCUAAGUUAAUAAAAAUGAAAAUCUUAAUAUCAAAAAUGAAAGAACCUAUUCAAUCCCUAAAUAACCAUGGCACUUAUACUUUUUUUUUUUACUAAAAUCAUGAGGAAUACAAACACUCAUUAGCCUUUUAAAAUGGAAAUUAACUUUAACACUAGAAAAUACUAACCCUUCAUAUGAAAAAUUGACAUUUAUCUUAACAUUUCUAGAUAAUGACAAAUAUGAAAUACUAAGAUGGAAACUGCUUCAUUACAAACUUCCAUGUAUUCAACUAUUCAAACAAUGGCAUAUAAUAGAAACAGAUACAGGUUUACAUUAUAAAGAAUUACAGGAUUAUAAACAGUUCUUUCCAAAAUGCUCAUAUUUGGAAUCCUUCUGGUAAGAAGUACAACAAAUUCUUGAGAAAUCAAACAUUGGAAGAUAUACUCAUGAUACAAUUAAUCUGAUAAGUCUUUUGAUAUAAAGUAUAUGUUAAAGAUUAUUAUGAUAUUAAAUUACUUUUAACCAUUAUUAGUUACACUAUAUGAGGUAUACUACAUGUCAGACAAAAUAAAAAUAAAAGAUAUAGUCACUCAAAUAAUUUAGACAGGAAAUCAGAAAUUAUAUAGAGACAAGAAACUUUUAGGAUACCCGAUUGGUAAAAUAUUUAAGAUUGUAAGCUAUUAAGUUAACUAGUUUAAAAUAAAAAUAUGAGGAAAGUGGUGUGAACUUGUAUUACAUAAGGAGAUAAACUUGAUAUUUUGGGAAAAAAUAAUACUUCUUUCAAAUAAAGAUAGUAUUAUAAUUGUAAAUUUUGUACAUCUACUUAUUUUUUGUAUAGGUCUUUGACUGCAUUUUUCUACAACUAUAGUUUUAUUCUUGUUGUGUUAUAGUAAUAGUUUCCGUUUUUGUUGUUGUCAACUAACUAUUCACUGUUUUCAUUGAUAUUCAAGAUAUAAGGUAUAUAACAUGACUAAUCCAUUUGAUUAGAUAUAUUCCAUAGCACUAUCAAGCUAUUUCACAAACAAAACAAAUAUUAAAAAAACAAAUUAUUCAGGUGAAGACAUCAAUUAUAUCCGGAUUAUUGAAAAUGUGCGUACUAACACAACUAAUCAUCAUAUAUGCUCUGUACAAAUGUUAACGAUGCCGGGAUAAGCUACCGUUACUUGAUGUAUCUAUUAACAAAUGUAAAUAUGUUAAUAAAAUUUUGUUUUAAUAAAAAAAAGCUUUUGUUUAGGACUGGUAUAAAAUCAUUAUGAUCAAAAUGAUUAAAAUUUCUAUAAGUUCGAAAAGUUGUUUUCAUCAAUGGGAUUAUAGCUGUUUAUCAUUUUUACUACACAGUAAUAUAAAAAUAAGAAGAUGUGGUAUGAUUGACAAUGAGACAACUCUCCACCAGAGACCAAAUAGCAUAGAAAUUAACAACUAUAGGUCACCGUACGGUCUCCAAAAGUGAGCAAAAUUCCUACCGCAUUUUAAGCUAUAAAUGGCUCAGAAAUGACAAAUGUUAAACAAUUCAAACGAGAAAACUAAUGGCCUGAUUUACGUACAAAACAAUAAACAAAAAAAACAAAUGUAAUAUACAGCAACACACGUGAUUCGUUAUAUUUUGCAAAAAGGGUUUCCCUUUAGUAGCAUACAAUUAUAGACUGUAUGAGGUAGAUACGAGGAUAUAUCGACCUGAGCGAUGUAUAUCGACUGAGGACGAAGUCCGAGGUCAAUAUGCUACUUUUGGUCGAUAUAUCUUCGCAUCGACCGUCUAAGGCUUCAAUUGUGGUAUUAUUAUUUUCCAAACACAUUUCUAUCAAAGUCAGUGCAUUAGUUUCUGUUGUUUUUUGUUCUCCCAAUAGUUUCAUUUUGUAGAUAUAUAGUAUAUUGUCUCUUUUACAUUGACAUCAUAAUUGUUCUUCCAAUUUAUUUUCUCUUUUCUUAUGUAUAUCGACCUACUUUUAAUGCAUUCGAAGAUUCUUUUGUAAGCCAUGAAGGUAUUUUGAAAGAAAUUUCUAAUAAAACUAAACUUUAGAGCCUCAAAAAUUUGACAAUAUUUUGAAAUUACAUGUAUAUAUCCCAAAAUAAUUAAAUCUUUUCCAAUGAACAUGUUGAAAGCAAUAUAAUUAUGUUAUGAAUUCAAUAAAUUCAUUUCUGAAUCUCAAUUCCUUGAUCAUUCACUUCUUUGGAAAAAAGUUGUAAUUAAUAGAUAUAUCUUAACAGUUUUUUGAUACAGGAACUGAACAUUGCCUUGCUGGCAUGGUUUUCUUGUUAAUUCUUGUAUCUAAUGAUUUUGACUGAUAAUAAUGACCGUUUUGGAAUUCUAAGUGAUUUCCUCAAAUCAUUAAAACAAUCAUCAUCUGCCAUUUCAGGUAGAAAAAUGAUUAGAAACUAUUACAAAAUGUGUUAAAGAUAUACUUCUAGGAUCUAGUGACAUAUCAUAGUUUGAGUCUUCAAUCAGUAAUAAGUAUAACACAUAGCUGCGAUGGUGAUGCGACACCAAGGUUGACAAUGUUUUUUCAAGGGGUAACAAUACGCCAGUUCCGGGAUACGGUAGUUCGUUGGAUCUGUCAUGUGACUUCCAUCACCACGUGACUAAAAUGUAGGCAUCGUCACUUCCAACACAUGUUGAGCGAACGGAUGAAAAAGGUUUGAUCUUAUACUGCACAAAAUUAUAGGGAAAUUAUAAUCUAAUAAUUUGGUCACCCUCUCGUCAGUCGUACGGGAAUUAAAAUUAUGUACUUACGGAACAUACAUUAUUUCUAGACUACCCUGCAGAAAGACGAUUCUGAAAGUGCUUGUAACUUUAAAAGAGCAGGGAUAUAGGCGCGCCUUCUAUCUGGUAAAUGAAGUCAUAAAGGCGUGCGAAAUUGACGAUCUUUUUACUGUGAAAGACGUGAUUCGAGAAAUAGCCUAUCUGCUCUCCCACCCUCUCAGCUAUGUGAUAUUUAAUUUAUUAUACUGAAUGUUCUGUCAUUAUUGUCUUUUAAAUUUAAAAUUAAAAGUACUUUACUACGACGUCAUGUACAUGUACUUAACAACGUUAUAGUUAUGAGAAAAAAAAUACAACAAAAGUGAAACAAGAUGAAUUUUUUGUUUUUAUUUUAGCAUUCUAUGAAAAAGCAUUGAGGUCAAAUCGUAAAACUUGAGCAUUGUCUUUCAAUUAUCGAAUUUUGAUUGGUCUGUACGAGAGGGUUACAUUAAAAAAAAUGUAUAACACAUUUUACUUCAUCAUAAAUUAAAUGUCGACAGUGAACUCAUUGUUACAUUGUCAGUCAUAAAUGUACAUGUGAGUCUGUUCUUUCUCGUUAUCAUCAAUAUAUAUCCUAAGCUGAGAGUUCUACUCAUAAUGAUUCAAUUUUUACGCAUUCAAACUAUUUGUUAUCUUUACUUGGUAGAUCUGACAUGAAAUAAUCUGCUCAACCGCCUACGUUUUCAAUUCUGUCAUUCUCCUAAAGAAAAUUGUGCUUCAGGAGUUGGUUUGGUUUCGGCUAUUUCAGGCUUGUCGACAACAUUAUGAUACAUAAACAAAGUAAGACAGCAAUUCACACAAAUAUUGAAUCCAACUUCUCCAACAAAAUAAUGAUUGAUUGAUUGUUAGUUGCUUAACGUCUAGUGGCAGAAAAAAGAUGAACACACAAGGAUAAAUAACAAAGAACAAUACUUGGUCUAGAUAGCAUGAUUAACACACAAUGUGUGUUUUACUCGCGCAGCCAUUAUUUGUUAUAUAUAUCAAUAAAAUAUGUGAGUUACUAUUUCUAUGAUUGAACAACAUUUUUGUAGUUGGAAGUCGACAUAUAAGUAGAAACAAGAUAAUAUGUUUUGAUGAUAUUUUCGUGCUCAUAUCUGUUAAUGGCAAACGUUCUUAAAUGCUCUUGUUUAGAUCGUUUUUUAUUUUCACGCAAGGCUAGUCAGAUUUUAACAUCGAAUGUUAUUGUCACAUUGAAGGGUCGAUAAUCACUGCCUUCACCUCUCAUUUAAAUAUUAAAAAUUAGUCAAAAAAAAUUUAGAAACAUAUACGAGUAUCAAUACGAACUUUCGUCUGAUGAUCAUAAAACGUUCUAAAAUGUUAUAUGUUGCUAUUCAUUUCAUUUGACGUGGUAUCAAAAAUUACUUUCGCCACACUUGAUACCUCCUCGGGCAAAGCCAAAGGGUUCAGAGUGGUAAUAGAAAUAAAAUUAUCUAUGGAAUUUUCAGUCCGAAAGUACAAUCCUUACCAAAGUCGGGUUAACGUUUGGCUGUGCGAGAUGUAUGAAUGCGCAGCCACGUCCGGUCCGAGUGGGGACGUUAAUAUCUCAUAUCUCGUGCAGAGAGAGAGAGAGUGCCAUGCUUUCAGCACGUUAGGAACCCUUGCAAAAGCUUAGUGAGGAGUCCGUAGGUGACCUGUUGCAAGGCAAAAUUUCUGUCCCUAUCCAAUAUAUCCUCAUUUUUCAGUGGCAUUCUAAAAUUCCCGACCUUCAUCCCGGACGGGCUCUUUUACAGGACCUACUUAUUAUAUUUAUCGUUAAAAUGUUUUCGUCCUUAACAUGCAUAAAAUACUUUCCACAAGACUUUAAACAACUACCAAUCAUUCAAUAGCCCAUGUUGCCAAAAAUACUUUCGUAAUCUACAUGUGUACAUGUAAAUACUGUUGAUUUCACCGUGUUACAUUCACUCUCGGUACACAUGAAUGAGAUUUUGGGGUUCCACAGCAGGUGAAAUUCAAGGAAUAAAUGUGAAAAAAUGUUUCAGGAAAGAAUUAUAAAGAAUAAACAACUUACAGGUUAUUGAUGAUGCACUCAAAAAAAUUAUAUACAAGGCUUUCUUUUAUUGAAUUUGCAAGCGAAUCGGUCCAUUUUGUCACAUUAAAAACCUUUAUAAAAAAGUUUUAAUCCUAUAAUCAAAUAACCUGAUAAAUAUAGUUUAGGGAGAUCGACAUGAUUAAUCGAUGAAGGAAGUACUUUAUGUAUUUACAAAUGAUUCUUUAAUUUAUUUCACAACCAUAAUUUUAUCAAUACGAUUCGACAUACAGCUAAGAAAGAAAAGUUGGUGAAACGUAGCUCUUUGUGCAAAAACAGAGUAUAAUGUCAGAUAUUCGUUUGCCAUCUCCAUUUGUACCGCAAAGGGUAGAAAUCCAACAAGCUAUACCAGGCAGAAUCCAGAAACGAGAAUUUCCAGUAAGGACAUUUAAAGUACUUGGAGGAACACAGAUUGGUAUAGGUGUCUUGCUGGGCAUCAUGAGUUUAGUUGGAGUGAUUUGGGAUGUCAAUGCAUAGGAACAAUACGAUGAUUGUUUCAAUAAGGAUUAUUAUGGCUAUUAUUUUAAUACUUAUUAUGGAUAUUAUUAUUCGUUGUGUUAUCGAUAUGAGGAUGGGCACACACUCUUUGCAUUUGACGUUGCUUGUUUAAUAUUUUCUGGUUGGUAUGUUGUUACCGGUUUUCUGCCUGUGUGUAUGUCAAGGCAGAGGAAAUCGAGCUGGAUAUGGCUGAAAACUGCAUUUAUGGUGUGUAGCAUAAUUGGAGGGUCCGUUUUUGUUCCAACUAUGUUUAGUCUUGGCGUAGUCGGUGCAUUCAUACAAGAAAGGCACGAUUCGAAAGCUAUGGUUCUGUCAGCUUUGCUGGCUGCCUUCUCCUUUGCAGAAUUAGUAUUGGCAAUCAUUUCUGCAUCAUUCUGCUGUUGCUGCUCUGCAUGGGAAACAUCAAAUCAGCAGGGAAUUGUUAUUAUGCAACGUACACACGCUGGACUGAUUCCUAACCGUUCGCAGAACCCAAUUUCUAUGACAAAUGAUCAACCCGUCCUGGCAAAUAGUGGACGAACAGCUAACCAAAUAGUGCAGUAUCCAAAAGCGCAACGGUAUCAAGUAAUGACUACGACUUCAUCAACAGAUCAACAGAUUCAAGCUGUUGGUGGUACACAACAAAGGACGGUCAAUACACCAUUGUGUGAUAUCAAUCCACCAUCAUACAAAUAAUAAGAAUAAAGUUAACCGAAGUAAAUGGACGGUUUAAUUCUUAACAUUUGUAAAUCUGUCCAAAUAAAUAUUUUAGAAUGUCAGCAGCUCCUGUAAACAGCCCUGUGUCCCCUCCUUUGGUCAUACAAGGCUUUGGAAAUCAACCUGUUCAAACAGGCGGAAUCCAGCAACAAGAAUUUCCAGUUGGGAGACUAAAAGUGUUUGGCGGCAUACAAAUUGGUCUUGGUGUUGCUCUAGGAAUUCUCAGUUUAGUUGGAGUGAUAGUGGAUGCCAUUGCCAUGGGGAAAUAUAAAGAUUGCUUACAUGGUGGCGGCCUAUACAGUUAUAACGAUCCCGUUUACAAUGAAAAUGUUAUGGUUUCAAGUUACCGGUUUUGCAGUAGAUAUAGUCAUGUGCUAUUAGGCUUUGACAUAACAUGUUUAAUAUGCUCUGGAUGGUACAUUUUAACCGGUUUGCUGCCUUUCUGUAUGACAAGACAGAGAGAAUCCAACUGGAGAUGUCUGAAAAUUAGUUUCAUGGUGUGUAGCAUAAUUGGAGCAUCAGUUUUUAUUCCCACUAUGUUCGGUCUUGCAGUUAUUGGAGCAGCAUUACGAGACCUUCAUGAACCUAAAGUUGUGGUUACCUCAGCUUUGCUGGCUGUUCUUUCUUUUGCUGAGUUUGUAGUGGCAGUUAUUGCCGCUUCAUUCUGCUGCUGCUGCUCUGCAUGGGGAACAUCAAAUCAACCGGGUGUAAUUUUUGUUAAUGGAACACAACCUGGGCUGAUUCUUAACCUACAACAGACGCAGUUACCCAUGGCAAAUGCCCAACCUGUAGUGAUGACUAAUGGACAAACAACGACGAUAGUUCAAAAUCAUAGAGCGCAUCAGUAUCAAGUGAUGAAUACAAAUGAACCGACUGGACAACAAAUUCAAACUGUUGGUGGACCACAUGUAUUAAUUAACAGUACACAACCAGAUUUUUCUACCAAUCCACCUCCUUACAAACAGUAAAGGAAAUAGAUAUUGUAAAAUGAAUGCGUCUGUAUACUUAAACGAAAUGACGGCCAACAAACUUUAGAUAACGUUUGUAAAACUUUCGAAGCAAUGAUACCUUUUACCACUUUGAGCCCCUUAUUGUGUACCGUGGAUGAAUGCGUUGUGUAUAGAUCGUGUUUAUUCAACGUCUAGCCAUUGCUAUAAAUAAAACGUCAUAAUACAUAAGUUUCAGGUAGCUACGUUAACAUAUAUGAAAUCGCGCUAACUUCGGGCCGACAAAAGUCAAAAUAUAAAAAUAUCAAUUACUUUAAAUGCCAAUCGAAUAGAUAUUACUGAAAAUAAAAUAAUCGAUUGGCCUUUUAAAACAAAUUAAAAUAAUUCUCUUAUUAA